rnacentral:rRNA from 1 species
CCCUUAGAUGUCCGGGGCUGCACGCGCGCUACACUGAAGGAAUCAGCGUGCUAAAACCAUUGUCGAAAGGCAUUGGUAAACCCAUUAAAAUCCUACGUGAUUGGGAUCGGGAAUUGCAAUUAUUUCCCUUGAACGAGGAAUUCCCAGUAAGUGUGGGUCAUAAGCUCGCGUUGAUUACGUCCCUGCCCUUUGUACACACCGCCCGUCGCUGCCCGGGACUGAGCCGUUUCGAGAAAAGCGGGGACUGCUGCUGUCGGGGCUUUCGGGCCUUGGCUUCGGUGGAAACCGCUUUAAUCGCAGUGGCUUGAACCGGGCAAAAGUCGUAAC